rnacentral:misc_RNA from 1 species
CCUGGACUCUGUCGUGUUACAACGACUGGUCUUAAUGCAUGAGUGUACCCUGCUGUUGCAGCGUCUUCAGUGUGAUAAGCAUCUUCACUGGAACAAGUCCUUGUGACACGCGAGCGAUGCAGGCUCUGUGCUGGCAAACCGUCUUUGGACAACCUUGACAAUUUGACCUCAGAUCGGGUGGGACUACCCGCUGAACUUAA